UCCGGCGGCAAUAGCGGCGGGGAAACACCUCUUCCCAUUCCGAACAGAGAAGUUAAGCUCGCCAGCGCCGAUGGUACUGCCUUGGAGACGAGGUGGGAGAGUAGGACGUUGCCGGGA
rnacentral:rRNA from 1 species